GUUGCGUGUGUUGUUAGCAUGGCAGCUAACGUGGCUAACGUUUUGCGUCGUCCACACAGCCGGGUCUGUGUGACGUUGAUUAGAGCGAACCUGCUAACUUUAUCACACUUGAAAGGCGUUUUAGCUGUCUGCAAAGUCAAGCCAGUAAAAUUCAGACUAAACAGGCUUUGCAGCUAUUAGCAUAGGUCUCUGGGCUUGUUUGUUAGUGCUGUGAAAGGUAGUAUUGAGAGUCAUGCCUUAUGGUGUCCGUUUUAACGUUUAUGUCAUGUUUACAGAUACAGUGCCUGUGGGGAAUAUCUAUAUAAGCGCACCAGUUACAGGGAAUAUGUGAAAGGGGAUAGUCUGUAAUACACAUUUCUUGUGUUUUGCAGAUAUAGUGAGCUAUUUGCAGCAUUUACAAGCUAUUGACAACCCAAUUUACACAUAAUUGAGUGCAUUUGUUGUUAUCAUUUUUGCACUGCUUGCAGCUGUUGCCAUAACUACACAUUUGAGGAGAUGUUGGUGUAACCUCUGUUUCCUCUGUUCAGGCCAGCACAUCAAGUGCAUCUAUACAGCUUCCUGCAACAAGGGAUGUUGCAUACCAGGCUGACCCACUGGAGACACGUACUGUAGGCACACAGUUAUCCUUGAAGACUCUUCAGCCUCACAUCAGAAGUACAGUGUACCUCCAGACUCUACCUGGCUGCCAUGUACUACAAUGAAAAUGCUGACCGACCACAAGCCCAAACAAAAGAAGGUGAACCACUGUUCAAGGUCCAAUUUCCAAAGGCCAUGAAGGGAGAAUGCAGACCUACACCAGGAAUGUGGUGGACCUCAUAUUUGAAAAAGUCUUUGUUGACCCAGGACCAUACACAGAAGCUGCUUUGGCCAUCCCCAUCCCAGAGGACCUCACUGCACAGUUUGAGCGGCCUGAGAAGGAGGAGGUCAUAUCCAGCUAUGUGUCCCGGUUCUAUCAUGGGCCAGUCUAAAACCCACGUACUGAGGCCUGUGGCGUCAGGAAACUUGGCACUGAUGCGUAGGACCAGGCAGGCUGGAAAGACGACACAGAUUCUGCCACCAAGGAAGCCCCAGCACCAGCCCAUAAAGCUCCUAUAGGCUAGAUACCUGUACCGACUAAAACAACUGGACAGGGCAUUUAGUCUUGCAAAAAUAUCUAUGUUGUGUCUCACAAUUUUUUUUAUGGAUCCAGUGAAUCCUACAGUUUUUUUUAUUAUCACUGAUUAUAAGUUCCUCAUUUGAUGUAAAUAAAUGCUUGAUCAUUACUAAAGAAAUGACUCUUCUGAAUUCAUAUAUUAUAUGCACACUAUCUGCUGAUAGAAAACUUUACA